rnacentral:misc_RNA from 1 species
GAUGAAGAACGUAGCGAAAUGCGAUAAGUAGUGUGAAUUGCAGAAUUCAGUGAAUCAUCGAAUCUUUGAACGCACAUUGCGCCCUUUGGUAUUCCAAAGGGCAUGCCUGUUCGAGCGUCAUUUGUACCCUCAAGCUUUGCUUGGUGUUGGGCGUCUUGUCUCUAGCUUUGCUGGAGACUCGCCUUAAAGUAAUUGGCAGCCGGCCUACUGGUUUCGGAGCGCAGCACAAGUUGCACUCUCUAUCAGCAAAGGUCUAGCAUCCAUUAAGCCUUUUUUUCAACUUUUGACCUCGGAUCAGGUAGGGAUACCCGCUGAACUUAAGCAUAUCAAUAAGCGGAGGA